rnacentral:rRNA from 1 species
GACACGACUCUCGGCAAUGGAUAUCUCGGCUCUCGCAUCGAUGAAGAGCGCAGCGAAAUGCGAUACGUGGUGCGAAUUGCAGAAUCCCGCGAACCAUCGAGUCUUUGAACGCAAGUUGCGCCCGAGGCCAACCGGCCAAGGGCACGUCUGCCUGGGUGUCAAGC